GUGGAUUAGAUACCCUAGUAGUCCACGCCGUAAACGUUGGGCACUAGGUGUGGGUCUCUAACCAACGAGAUCCGCGCCGUCGCUAACGCAUUAAGUGCCCCGCCUGGGGAGUACGGUCGCAAGACUAAAACUCAAAGGAAUUGACGGGGGCCCGCACAAGCAGCGGAGCGUGUUGCUUAAUUCGAUGCUACGCGAAGAACCUUACCUAGGUUAAAUCAUUGGGAAAAGCCACAGAGAUGUGGUGUCCUUCGGGGCUCAAUGAAGGUGGUGCAUGGCUGUCGCCAACU
rnacentral:rRNA from 1 species